CCAAGGUAUACGGUAGCUGCGCUCCCCUGCUAGAAUCUCCAAACAAGCUCAAGGUUGUAUGAGAACGUAGGGUGGUCAAACUUCCAAGACUGCAAACACAUCCAAGUGAGGCGCUGCAUGGAGCAGUCUGCCAUUGUUU
rnacentral:snRNA from 1 species